rnacentral:ribozyme from 1 species
AUCCAACAAAGUAAUUCACCUUUUCGUGGUGUUGGAUAUAAGUAAAUUAAUUUUAAAUUAAUUGAAACUAAGUAAUUA